GUGCCAGCAGCCGCGGUAAUACGUAGGGGGCGAGCGUUGUCCGGAAUUACUGGGCGUAAAGGGUGCGUAGGCGGCUUGGCAAGUCCUGUGUGAAAGGUCGCGGCUUAACCGCGGUGGGUCAUGGGAAACUGCUGAGCUAGAGUGCCGGAGAGGAUAGCGGAAUUCCAGGUGUAGCGGUGAAAUGCGUAGAGAUCUGGAGGAACACCAGUGGCGAAGGCGGCUAUCUGGAAGGUUACUGACGCUGAGGCACGACAGCUGGGGGAGCAAACAGGAUUAGAUACCCUGGUAGUCCCAGCCGUAAACGAUGAGUGCUAGGUGUUGGGGGUAUCGACCCCUCCAGUGCCGAAGUUAACACAAUAAGCACUCCGCCUGGGGAGUACGGCCGCAAGGCUGAAACUCAAAUGAAUUGACGG
rnacentral:rRNA from 1 species